AUAUAGGAUGAUGUGAUGGCAAUACACUGCAUUUUGCACAUUCAUGGAGUUUUCAAAUCCCAUUAUGCUUGUAACAUUCAAGCUCUUCAAUUAUUCUUGUCCACAGCACUUGAGAAUGAACUGGAUGCGUUGAUUGCCACAAUCGAGGAGAAGAACAAUGGCAACUGUAAACAGAUUCUUCAGAUCAUUGCACUCCAAAAUCAAGUGACAAGAUUGCAGAGGCAAGAGUUCGAGUUCAAUCAGUCAUCUGAGGCCAAGAUUGCUGAGCUAGAGAAUCAGCUACAGGAGACGAGAGACCAGCUGAAUGAAAAGAAAGACGAGCUGAAAGAAACUGACAGUAGAAUUCCACAACUCAUUGCAGAGAUCAUGGGACUUCGUAACAAACUGACAGAGUUAGAAAGAACAUUAUCAGAGCUCAAACAGACAAGUGCUGACAAGAUGGAA
rnacentral:lncRNA from 1 species